rnacentral:ncRNA from 1 species
GGUGACGUGAGUCUUAAUAGAGAAGCAGGGUGUAAAUUCCCUCACGAUCCCGUCGCUGUGAUAGUGAGUAUUCCAAAAUAUGCCACUGGAUAUUUAUCUGGGAAGGCUUGGAAAUACAAUGAACUUAAGUCAGAAGAACUGCCUGAUAAUU